rnacentral:rRNA from 1 species
GGGCGUUAAGUUGCAGGGUAUAGACCCGAAACCCGGUGAUCUAGCCAUGGGCAGGUUGAAGGUUGGGUAACACUAACUGGAGGACCGAACCGACUAAUGUUGAAAAAUUAGCGGAUGACCUGUGGCUGGGGGUGAAAGGCCAAUCAAACCGGGAGAUAGCUGGUUCUCCCCGAAAGCUAUUUAGGUAGCGCCUCGUGAAUUCAUCUCCGGGGGUAGAGCACUGUUUCGGCUAGGGGGCCAUCCCGGCUUACCAACCCGAUGCAAACUGCGAAUACCGGAGAAUGUUAUCACGGGAGACACACGGCGGGUGCUAACGUCCGUCGUGAAGAGGGAAACAACCCAGACCGCCAGCUAAGGUCCCAAAGUCAUGGUUAAGUGGGAAACGAUGUGGGAAGGCCCAGACAGCCAGGAUGUUGGCUUAGAAGCAGCCAUCAUUUAAAGAAAGCGUAAUAGCUCACUGGUCGAGUCGGCCUGCGCGGAAGAUGUAACGGGGCUAAACCAUGCACCGAAGCUGCGGCAGCGACGCUGAUGCGUUGUUGGGUAGGGGAGCGUUCUGUAAGCCUGCGAAGGUGGCCUGUGAGGGUUGCUGGAGGUAUCAGAAGUGCGAAUGCUGACAUAAGUAACGAUAAAGCGGGUGAAAAGCCCGCUCGCCGGAAGACCAAGGGUUCCUGUCCAACGUUAAUCGGGGCAGGGUGAGUCGACCCCUAAGGCGAGGCCGAAAGGCGUAGUCGAUGGGAAACGGGUUAAUAUUCCCGUACUUGGUGUUACUGCGAAGGGGGGACGGAGAAGGCUAUGUUGGCCGGGCGACGGUUGUCCCGGUUUAAGCGUGUAGGUGUGUGUUCCAGGUAAAUCCGGUUCACUUUAACACUGAGGCGUGAUGACGAGGCACUACGGUGCUGAAGCAACAAAUGCCCUGCUUCCAGGAAAAGCCUCUAAGCAUCAGGUAACAUCAAAUCGUACCCCAAACCGACACAGGUGGUCAGGUAGAGAAUACCAAGGCGCUUGAGAGAACUCGGGUGAAGGAACUAGGCAAAAUGGUGCCGUAACUUCGGGAGAAGGCACGCUGACACGUAGGUGAAGUGAUUUACUCAUGGAGCUGAAGUCAGUCGAAGAUACCAGCUGGCUGCAACUGUUUAUUAAAAACACAGCACUGUGCAAACACGAAAGUGGACGUAUACGGUGUGACGCCUGCCCGGUGCCGGAAGGUUAAUUGAUGGGGUCAGCGCAAGCGAAGCUCCUGAUCGAAGCCCCGGUAAACGGCGGCCGUAACUAUAACGGUCCUAAGGUAGCGAAAUUCCUUGUCGGGUAAGUUCCGACCUGCACGAAUGGCGUAAUGAUGGCCAGGCUGUCUCCACCCGAGACUCAGUGAAAUUGAACUCGCUGUGAAGAUGCAGUGUACCCGCGGCAAGACGGAAAGACCCCGUGAACCUUUACUAUAGCUUGACACUGAACAUUGAGCCUUGAUGUGUAGGAUAGGUGGGAGGCUUUGAAGUGUGGACGCCAGUCUGCAUGGAGCCGACCUUGAAAUACCACCCUUUAAUGUUUGAUGUUCUAACGUGGACCCGUGAUCCGGGUUGCGGACAGUGUCUGGUGGGUAGUUUGACUGGGGCGGUCUCCUCCUAAAGAGUAACGGAGGAGCACGAAGGUUGGCUAAUCCUGGUCGGACAUCAGGAGGUUAGUGCAAUGGCAUAAGCCAGCUUGACUGCGAGCGUGACGGCGCGAGCAGGUGCGAAAGCAGGUCAUAGUGAUCCGGUGGUUCUGAAUGGAAGGGCCAUCGCUCAACGGAUAAAAGGUACUCCGGGGAUAACAGGCUGAUACCGCCCAAGAGUUCAUAUCGACGGCGGUGUUUGGCACCUCGAUGUCGGCUCAUCACAUCCUGGGGCUGAAGUAGGUCCCAAGGGUAUGGCUGUUCGCCAUUUAAAGUGGUACGCGAGCUGGGUUUAGAACGUCGUGAGACAGUUCGGUCCCUAUCUGCCGUGGGCGCUGGAGAACUGAGGGGGGCUGCUCCUAGUACGAGAGGACCGGAGUGGACGCAUCACUGGUGUUCGGGUUGUCAUGCCAAUGGCACUGCCCGGUAGCUAAAUGCGGAAGAGAUAAGUGCUGAAAGCAUCUAAGCACGAAACUUGCCCCGAGAUGAGUUCUCCCUGAGACUUUAGGUCUCCUGAAGGAACGUUGAAGACGACGACGUUGAUAGGCCGGGUGUGUAAGCGCAGCGAUGCGUUGAGCUAACCGGUACUAAUGAACCGUGAGGCUUAACCUUACAACGCCGAAG